UCCGGUGGUUUGAGCGAGCUGGUACUACCUGAUACCAUUCCGAACUCAGAAGUAAAACGGUUCAGCGCCUACGAUACUGGGAUUUAUCCUGGGACAAUAGGUCACUGCCGGGC
rnacentral:rRNA from 1 species